CUGCUGAGUUUUUCAAAUUUGCUGGCAUAUUGAGUAUAGUAUUUUAACAGCAUCAUAUUUUAUGAUUUGAAAUAUCUCAGCUGGAAUUCCAUCACCUCCGUUAGUUUUGUUCAUAGUGAUGAUUCCUAAGGCCCACUUGAUUUUGCAUUCCAGUAUGUCUGGCUCUAGGUAUGUGGCAGUGAAAGAGUACAUGCUAGAAUUCCACAGAGGGAGACUUCCCCUCAGUCAGCUGCCUGGGAAACCUUCGCCUGAUUGAGCCCGGCCUCCAGCCAGAGCUGUUGAACCACUUUUUUUCAUAGCUGCGGCACUGGAUGAAUCAGACAUCGUGCACUCAAAGGAGGGUAGAUACACAGGCCGUAGGCUGGUUUGCGGCUUACAUCAAACAGUGACCACUGCAUUGCUAAACAUGCAGAAUCAAGUGCAUGAACACUGCAGAAGAUCAACUGGGAUUUUUGUUUCUGAAGAGAAGAAUUCUCAUUCAAAAUAUAAGUGUGUGUACUUUCAUUCUAUGUUUUUAUCCUUAAUGUUUCAAAUUAUAAUGCAAACUUCCUAAGCUGAUAAAUUUGCUGUUUAGAGAUUCUUUCUUAUAAAACAAUAUAGAGAGCUGUUUGUGAAAGAUGAAGAAUGGUAGUUGAAAUGCUUAAUGUUCCUGUGUAAUUUGCUAAUGCUUUGAGAAAUAGGAAUGUAAUGUCAGUGGCAGAUGCUUCAUACAAAUGAAAAAAUAAAUUAAUUACAUGUGUAACUUUUGUUAAAAGAGAAACGUGCACUAAUGCUUAAUCUAGACUUUCACUAUAUUUGGAUUUAUUGUAGUAUGUACUAAUAAUAAUUCCACUGGUUUCAGAAUGUUUGUUUUUUCUAAUGCAUAGAAACAAUAUGUUAUUAACAUUCCUAAUUUCCAGAUCUGAUGUCCUCAGAGUCCCCCAGUGACAACCAUUGAUGUCCCAUCCAGACUAGCUCAGGUUGUGAGGUGAUGAUGGCUAUAGCUGAAGGCACAUCACCUGUCUAUAUCCAUCAGCUGGUAGAAUAUGAUCCUAAUCUCAAGGUUAGAACAUGAAAAUCUGGAAUAUGAUUAACAAAUCCUGAAAGGGUUUUGUCCACUGACUCUCAAACUUCCUCCACCUCCACAGCAGUGACUUCUUCAUCUGUGUUGACACGGUUGCAUUUCUUGUCUUCUGUGUUGGUCUCUCUAAUUAGCACUUUUGUAUCCUACCAGAGAGUUUGAAAAUAAAUCCCUGACUACUUGGAUAAAGCCCUAAUAAACCACUAUAUUCUUGAGAAAGCCCUU
ensembl:lncRNA